CUUAGCGCUCAGUCAAUUUCCAUCCAUUAGAUCCUCAUGCUGUCAAAAGCCUAAAACUCAUGUUUGAAGAGCACCUAUAGUGGAAUAUAAAUGUGCCGAGAUAAGUAUCUUUUCUGAAUCUCGCAAUUUUGGUGGUGUACCUUGCAACAGCAUGCUUGUUGUUAUGGCUUUUUUUUUACUUUGGUUUAGAAGGCAACCCAGCUAAGAGAUAGAGUUUCAGUGACAUGAAGAGUGUGAAGUAAACCACCUAUCACCA